UCCAGGUCUCUGGGCUCUGCCAGAAGCCUCAGGCUCUCCCCACUAGCCCAGGACGCCUUCCCCGUCCCCAGGCGGGCCAGGCUGGGGGGUGGGGGGCUCCAGGGCAGAAAGGCCUCUGUCCCACGUGGGUUCCCAGGGCACUGGCGAGCUUGGCACUGGAUAGAAGCUCUUGAAGCAUGUCGCCUGGUGCUUGAGCUCCAAUAAUGCUGUCAAUAUAAUGGCCUAGUGUGAUGUGUCGUGGAAUGUUAAAGUGAUGAAGAUCUCUGCAGACUGUAUUACUUCGGAGCAGAACCUGAAGAUACACGAUGGCCUGGACAGCUAAAAAGGAAACUGCUCUGCUGGACCCUGCGUACUGUCACGGAGGGAAAGCCCGGUAACAGCUACCUGCCAAAUACCCGGGGCUGUGCUGACUUGCUCUGGGGAAGUUUUGCAGGACUACACCUAUGUGGGCACAUCCAGCGGGCCUUAGAUGUGUGGCCAGAGUAAGGAGUUCUUUGCGGGAGCUCACAGAUCCCAGCUUGCCACCACCUUGCCGCGCCUCCUCUUCCCGGACUCAGACCCCCAAAACCGCAGACCACAUGCUGCCUUUGCGAGUUCUUGGUGCUUUUAUGGAAGAGUGGAUCUUUGGAAGUCUUUAUUCCACUAUUUUGGAAGUGUUUCUCUCCUCCUUGAUUUACCUAUACAAUAGGAGAAAUCCUAGAUCUGGGAGCCAAAAUAUGAAGCGGAGAGUCACAGCCUCUUACCAGUUCCCAGACAAAAGUCAAUCAUGGACCCAGAGCCCCUUGACUGAAGGUGAUGCGGAGUCUCCUAGAGGAAGGAAACUGCAUCCUUGUUGCAAGUACUCAUCAUGACCCUUCCUCCUUGCCUUCCCCAGGGGGACCCACAGCUAUUUAGUGGGGUAACUGUGCACUGGAAAAAAGGACAUACCCAGAUCUUUCUGGGAUUAUUAGACAUUGGCUCUAAAUGUCCUUGUUCCUAGGGACCUAAAAUGCCACUGUGGUCCACCAUUCAAAGUAGGGGCUUAUAGCAAUCAGGUGAUAGAUGGAGACUUUUUACUCCACGCCAAUUCAGUGGACCCAGGUGGCCCGUGGGCUGGCCCGUCCUGUUCUUAUUUCCUCAAUGCCUGAAUAUAUAAUUAGAAUAGAUACACUUGAUAAUUGGCACAGACACUAAUGAGAGACUCAAAGAUACUGAAAGAAAUCUUACAACACAUCAGACAUAAAAAGGAAAGGGAAUCAUGCCGUUAGGUGUGAAUUUUAAGGACAAAUCCAAAAGACCUCAUGCAAAUAAUCGGAGUCCCAGAAGAAGGGAAAAGGAACAGAUGGAAGGGAAGAUUUGAGCCUGGAGAUUAAAAGGACUCACAUGAAUAAAGAUAAGUAUCUAGACAUAGCCUGAUGAAAUUCCUGAACUUCAGAAAUUGAAAAAAAAAAAACAAACAAAACCCCCAAAACUUACAAGCUUCUGGACUAGGUUAUUUACAAAGGAAUGAGAAUCAGACUAGUUUAAAGCCACCCAUCUGAAAUACUAUAAGCUAGAAGACAGUAGAAUACAGACUCCAGGGGAAAAGACUGGAACCCAAGAACCAGAAGCGGCAAUUAUGUCACUUCCGUGGGUGGAGCUAUACGGAGAUAUAGCUAUAAAGAUAUAGAUAGUUCAGCUUCAAUGUUAGCAGUAGCCUGGGAAUUUGUGCUUUGAGUGUUAAAUAAGGAUUCUUUGGCAUAAGUGAUUAACUUUAAUGAAAAACCUAAUAAUAGAUUAGAACAAAAAAAUCGGAAGCUAUCUUAGCAAAACUCUAGGAGAGGGAGGAAGGUCAAAGCAUUCUAGAGCGAUCAUCUUUUGGGGGUUUGUGAAAGAGUGGGCAAGUAAAUUACUUGAUGAAGGAGAAGGAUAUGACCAUGCACGGAUACAACAAUUUAAGAACAACUGUGAUUGCUAGGAAAAAGAAGAUAAACACUGGCAGGUUUACCGAGGGGGAAAGGUAAUAAAUAGAAAUUUGACCAAACCCACAGAAGUUUGUUUUUUUUUUUAAAAAGCAAACAGGAAAACAUUAAUGAAAAAGUAAAUAGGUGGGGCGCCUGGGUGGCUCAGUCAUUAAUCGUCUGCCUUUGGCUCAGGUCAUGAUCCCGGGGUCCUGGAAUCGAGCCCCAAGUCAGGAUCCCUGCUCAAUGGAGAGCCUGCUUCUCCCUCUCCCUCUGCCCACCGUUCCCCCACCUUCCCGCUCGUGCUUGUGCUCUCUUUCUCUCAUAUAAAUAAAAUCUUAAAACAACAGGGGGCGCCUGGGUGGCUCAGUCGUUGGGCGUCUGCCUUCGGCUUAGGG